ensembl:lncRNA
CAUGGCCGCACGUCGCCGCCGCAGCCACACUCAGCUCCUCCAGUUGUCGCCUCAGCUGUGUGCCACCAACCUUUCUGCGCUCGACAGCCUUCCGUGGUGAGAUUGAUGAGAAUCGACAGGACGAGAACCCCGGCCCCAGUCGGUCCCCUGCCCACCAUUACCGCUCUGCCCAUAGCAGCCUGCAGUCUGAAUGCAUACUGCUCGCUUCUGGACCGGCUGCACCGCUUCAACCUGUGCCGAGGUGGGGAGGGGGAUACAAGAAGCUAGCGUCCGACUGCCCGAGAGCGCCUCAGCGCGAGGUUUCCUCCGCGAGGGUGUCCUUCUGUUGUCGGUUAACAGUCCAGUGGUUAGCGACACUCUCACUAUGGAGGUCUCUACAUGUCUGGUGAGAAAAAGCUCUGUUGUUCUGGUCCUUUUUUUUCCAGAGAGUUGGAAUCAAGCACCGUUUCAAUGUUGUAAGCGGUCCUAGUGGUGCUGGGUUUCAAAAGUGUUCAUUACUAGAUACAAAAAAAUGAAAUAAAAACUAAUCAUAUAAUGAAUAAAAACAGAUGAAAACUAUUGUCUAACCAUUAAAUUAUAAUACAAUCUCAGUUUAUUAUUAAGAAAUCUUAUUUUACCUUGUUUAUUUUCACACCAACGGAGUUUAUUGAAGGUCAUUUUGGUUAAAUUCCAGCAGUUUUAAAUUCAAAGAUGUCCCUUUUCCAAAGUUUGGAUUUCACAACUUAAUUUUUCUCAGUGACUGUUUCUUUUUUUUAUUGCGUAAUCUCACUUUUCAUCAAGUCUUUAUUUGCCCAUCAACACAAACCAAAGAGUCAGUUGCGCUCCUCACAGGCAUCUUGAUUAUGUUGCUGGGAACCAAAGCGCUCUAGUUAGAGUACAUAACAUGGGAUUAUCAUUGUGUGCAUUUCUGUGCACAUAUGACCAACCUGCAGUGUGACCACUCCUUGAUGGUUGUUAGAAAGUGUUACUUUAGUUUGUUGUGGUAGAGGUAUAAUAUAGGUAUAAUGAGAAUCUUGGGGACAAACUUAUCUGAGUACUUUGAGUCCCACACAAUAACAAUCUAACAAUUAAGCAUGACAUCUGCAAAGUUGCUAAUGAAUCCAACUGUCAGAUGAAUGCAAAUGAUUUUUUUUUAAAAAGUAGUCUUGCAAAAUAGAAGUACAGUGCUUAUGUAAAUACACACUGCUACUUACCAUCUGUGGUAAAUUACAUAGCAGUAAAAUCCGCCUAGACAUUGUGUUGUUGUUCAUUCACUAGGACUUAUGUAAUGACUCAAGUGUGUUCCAUCUGUUUCAUAAAGCAUAAAGAACUGCGUGAGCUUAUUGAACCUUUACUCGCCCACACUUUAUUGUUCCAUCAAUGUCUCGUCCUUUCGGCUGCGAGCUUCUUGUCUCUGGGAUGUCAGAGGCAACCCAAGACGUUGAUUCUGUGUGAUUAACAGCUGGGCGGCGAACAUUAUACGCCCAUGGUUCAGCUGGACAUUUCAGAAUGGUACUUUAAUGGGAAGAAAUAUUCACUUGUUAUUGUUCUAUACACCCUCACUUGGAAAAGACUUGGUUAAUGUGAUGCUGUCAGAGUAACCAAUAGUAACAUGUAGCAACAAACACAGUUUUUAGCCUGUAGCCUGUGAGUAAUAUGUCGGAUGAUUCAGAGUUUUUUGUUCUGGAUGGAUAGGCCAGUGUGUGUGUGUGUGUGUGUGUGUGAGAGAGAGAGAGAGAGAGAGAGAGAGACUGUGUGACUGUGUUUCUUCAUCUCUGUGUGCAGACUGCAGGCAGAUGUCCAUGAGGGUGUAAGAAAGUGUAAUGUUCAGAGAGGCAGCCAGAUAGUCACUCAUGCUCAAAUUGUCCUACAGUUUUUCUUUCUCUCUCACACACACCCUCCGUCUCAGACUUUCUUCUUCUUCUUUUACAUUACCUAUCCAACACAUUUGCACAGGGGGGACUCCAGGAUAUUCACAGCGGCGGGCUUACUUCUCAAGACAUCCCCCUUGAGGGACAAUUUUUACAAAUUCCCUAAAUAAGGUCUGAAUGUAGAUGACAAACAUACAUGCAUGUUCAAUCCAAUAUAGUUCAGUUGAACACCCUGCAGCAAAUGUCAUUCAAUUCAAUUCAGACUCAGGCUCCAAAUAUAAGACAGGACCAUUACAUUUGCUAAUUUACAUGCAAAAGCUCAAUAAAAGAGUAUGUUCUAAGAGAGGAAAAAAGUAUACGUUAGUGUCUUACAGAGAGCAUACUGUACCACUGUCUCUACAGCUGGCACUGGUAGUAUGGGGCGCUAAACCUUAUGUUUGAUUAAACCAAGAUGGUUUCAUUUUCAGAGACACUAACACAGCAAAAAAUCCCUGUGAGUAUAUUCUUAAAGAUGUAUUUGUUUAACCCUUGUUUUUUCUUGACAUUGUCUUUACUUUCUCAUUGUGUGCGGUCCAGAAGACCUCAAUGUUGUGCGUGUAAAAGACAAAAUCUUUUUUUUUUCUCCCCUUCAAAUGUUUGCUUUUCUUUGCGUUUGACUGUAUCAACACCAGUGUAUGUUGAAGUGGUGACCCUCUCUUAGCCACAGACUGUGCUUGCGCAUUUGAUAAAGUUGACAAAAUACAGAAAUGACAAGGAUAAGGCAUUAUUAUUACACCAAAUAUGGCAAUAUUUAAUGUUUUAUUAUUUCAAGAUGAAGGUAGUGAAGUGUACAGGACAACGUCAUAUUGAGUGGUGUUUCUAAAUGUGCUGUAUGUCCUCCCUGAUUACAUACCUUAGGGGGGCAGAAUAUGAGAAACACUGACAACAUAAUGUAGUCCAGUGUACAGCAUCUCCACAAACUAUGCCCUAAAUGAUAAAAUCUACAAUAUGUCAAUAGUUAAAACUGAAUGUUUUAGGAAUCAUUAAAGUAGACUCAAGAUCAGCACAGUUUGUAUGGGAUGGCAUUGUAGAUUGUACAGGUGUGGCUAAUAAAGUGGUUACUGAGUGUAUCUUUUCCUUUCAUUUGCAAAAAAAAAAAGUCACACAGUGAUAAGUAAUUGGACAGCAUGUGGCCCUACAUAGAGAUAUGAACUUAUGUUUGGGGUCAGUUUGGCUACAGUGAGCUCCCUCUGGAUCUUCAUGUGAAGGAAGACAAGACGACCCAGAAAUCAAAAUCCUAUUGAUCAGAAACUCUCACAGAAUUAGGAAAAAUCUGGGCUCUGAGCUGAUGAAACAAGACUUAACUCACCAAAAAAAUGUUUUGUUGACUAUGGUUUAACGGUGACUAGAUUAUGACUGAAUUUUAAUUUUUGGGUGAAUAUAUCCUUUAAAGAGAGUAUAAGAAGCAGAAUAUUAGGGUAAAAUUGUCAGAGAGGUGUUUGCUAAUUUGUGUGGCACUGGUUUAUGGUGACGUUGUAUCGGACUCUAUUACAUUGUGCCACUUUUCUAAAAGUGUACUGUCAAAUAUUAUAUGUGUAGAAGUAACAAACAGUGGGUAUUCCUUAAAGAGCUAUAGUAUAAUAUUCAAUAUAUACAUUGUUAAUGACAAUAUGUCCGCUCCUUGUAAUAACAAAUGGAUAGAUGUGGUCAGAACUCUAUCAUUUCUACUGUACUGACUAAUAUAAUGUUCAGGCCCAGAAGUUUUGCCAAUAGAAAGACCAGUCUUUAUCUAAUGCUUAGUAUUGAUCAGAUGUUGGCGAGAGAUUGCUUGGUAGAUGGACUGUGUUAACCAACAGAAUCUAGCUACACAUCAUUAUCAAUUCCCAGUGUUUUCUGGUUCUUUCAAGCAGCACAGGGGAUUUGUAAGAUGGGUAAUUGAUGAUACUGCUUAAAAAGCUAUUAAACAUUAAUAAUUUAAACUGGUUGUCAUUAUAAUGACUGUGAUGAACGUUUACAGUGGGGACCUCUGCUGGAGAGGAAGAACUGUUGAGACUAGAUUGUGCCACUCGGUGGUCAAAAAGUAUUAUCACAAAUUUGCAACAGCCAUAACACCAUUUCUCUCACUCCCUGGUUGUCAGAACUAUGUUAUAUGCCUUUCGUCACCUUUAGCUGACAUAUUAAAAGUCCAUAUCAUACCUGAACUGAGUGCUUCUUGUAAUUUCUGUCAUGUAUUUGUUUC